UGUUGUUUCAGGAAACAGGUCGAGCCAGUUAAAGACUACUUCAACACUGAAGUCCGCACCAACGACAACUACGUGGACUCUUAUUGGAAGUCUAGCGAUCAUUAUGAAACCGGAACCGGAUACAACCCAGGCGGCGACACUUCCGGUAAACAGGCGCUAAACGGAGGGUUUAAGCGUGUAGCGUUGCCAGCGGCGCCACCACGUGGGUACCAGUUCUAAAAGAGAGCCACG